UACGUAGGGGGCAAGCGUUGUCCGGAAUUAUUGGGCGUAAAGCGCGCGCAGGCGGCCGCUUAAGUCUUGUGUUUAAACCCGGGGCUCAACCUCGGGACGCACGGGAAACUGGGCGGCUUGAGUGCAGGAGAGGAAAGCGGAAUUCCACGUGUAGCGGUGAAAUGCGUAGAGAUGUGGAGGAACACCAGUGGCGAAGGCGGCUUUCUGGCCUGUAACUGACGCUGAGGCGCGAAAGCGUGGGGAGCGAACA
rnacentral:rRNA from 1 species